CCAACGUGGAUACCCCGGGAGGUCACUCUCCCCAGGCUCUGUCCUAGUGGCAUAGGGGAGCAUAGGGCCCUGCCCCGUGAUGUACACUCCCGUUCGACGACGAAGCUGGGCCUCGAGUCUGCGCCUGCAUAUUCCUAAGGCUUCUCAGAGUCCUCUGGACCGUGACUGAGGAGACAAACCAUGCAGGAAACAGUC